CCUUAAAUGUGAAGGUGCCGCGUCGCUAUUGGCCAGAGCGAGCACAUGCUCUCAGCGGCGCAGGGAGCACGUACACACACAGAAGGAAAACAAGCAUGGCGGGAAUUGAAGAGACGAGUCGAGACGAAAACAGAGAGCAUUUGGGACGACUACGGUUUUUCCACACAGGACGAGUCACAGACACAAGUUCUUUGCAAGUCAUGCCGAAAAAUCGUGGCUAUGUCAAGAGGAAACACGACAAACCUCCUUCAAUACAACCACAAGGAACUUUACAACGUAUAUUUAACAUCUAAAAACCCACAGCCUACUCCGGUAAAGUCAAGCAAACGAAAGGCAAGUUCACAAACUAACAUAAAUGAUAGUUUCGCUUCUGCCGCUCCUUAUGAGAAGGCAGAGCUCAGUGAAGUGGAUUUUUAUGCUAGCACUACUGACUUGUGGUCCAGUCGAACCACUGAGCCAUACAUGAGUUUUACCGUGCACUUUUUGACAUGCAAAUUUGAGCUCAUUACACGCUGCCUAUAAGUAGCAUACUUCCCCGAGACACACACUGGUGAAAACAUUGCUGCUGCCCUGCGGGAUGUUUUGAACAACUGGAACUUGCCCAAACACAACAAGUGGCCAUCACAACAGAUAACGGAGCGAACGUGGUGAAGGCUGCUGAGGUCAACAACUGGUUCAGAGUGCAGUGCUUUGGCCAUCGCCUGCAUCUGGCAAUUGCCAGAACGGCUACAUCCUAUCCACUGACGACCUGCGUGGUGACCACCGUUGAGCUGGCGGUCUGCAGGCCGGCCCUGAUCUUCACCUCACGACGCAUCUGGCACCAGACACACAGCCUUACAGAGAUGUUGUAGCGAUCUCUGAUGGACUUGCGGAGUAAGCAGGACACCACACCACAGGAGUCCAGGAGUGGCAUGCAGCAGCAAUAGCCAUGUUUCCUGGCUGUAUCACACUGCAUGCAGGGGAAACACCAAAGGGCACAGCAGCCUCGAGGGAAGAAGAAAAACAUGCAGAGACACAGUGUCUGUAUGAGGUUAUUCCAGCAUUCAGUAAGUUUUCCUUCAACAACCUGCUGAUGAAUCCUGUGGUUUAUAUGCUGACUUUAUCUGAAUAAAAGUCUCAAUGAAAGUCUGAAGAGAUGAUUGAUGUAGAAAUCGUUGGUGUUUGUAGGGUUUUUGGACUGACUUACAGGUGCCCAUAUCAGAGAAGCAAUCACACAGGCCGGUGCUCCACUGCCCAGGAUUCUGUGCGGUGUGGGUGACUGUCACCACCUGGGUGGGUUGUUGGUAGACAGCCAUGACUGGAGGA